UACGGAGGGUGCGAGCGUUGUCCGGAAUCACUGGGCGUAAAGGGCGCGUAGGCGGCCUGAUAAGUAGGGGGUGAAAUCCUGCGGCUUAACCGCAGGGCUGCCUUCUAGACUGUCAGGCUAGAGCACAGUAGAGGCAGGUGGAAUUCCCGGUGUAGCGGUGGAAUGCGUAGAGAUCGGGAAGAACAUCAGUGGCGAAGGCGGCCUGGCUGGGCUGUUGCUGACGCUGAGACGCGAAAGCGUGGGGAGCAAACAGG
rnacentral:rRNA from 1 species